GACGAACGCUGGCGGCAUGCCUAACACAUGCAAGUCGAACGGAGAUUAUUUCGAUAAUCUUAGUGGCGAACGGGUGAGUAACGCGUGGGCAACCUGCCCUCUAGAUGGGGACAACAUCCCGAAAGGGGUGCUAAUACCGAAUGUGACAGCAAUCUCGCAUGAGGAUGCUGUGAAAGAUGGCCUCUAUUUAUAAGCUAUCGCUAGAGGAUGGGCCUGCGUCUGAUUAGCUAGUUGGUGGGGUAACGGCCUACCAAGGCGAUGAUCAGUAGCCGGUCUGAGAGGAUGAACGGCCACAUUGGGACUGAGACACGGCCCAGACUCCUACGGGAGGCAGCAGUGGGGAAUCUUCCGCAAUGGGCGAAAGCCUGACGGAGCAAUGCCGCGUGAGUGAUGAAGGAAUUCGUUCCGUAAAGCUCUUUUGUUUAUGACGAAUGUGCAGAUUGUAAAUAAUGAUUUGUAAUGACGGUAGUAAACGAAUAAGCCACGGCUAACUACGUGCCAGCCGCCGCCGUAAUAC
rnacentral:rRNA from 1 species